rnacentral:rRNA from 1 species
UGUCUGAGUAUAAGCAAUUGUACCGCGAAACUGCGAAUGGCUCAUUAUAUAAGUUAUCGUUUAUUUGAUAGCGCCCUACUACUUGGAUAACCGUGGUAAUUCUAGAGCUAAUACAUGCUAAAAAUCCCGACUCCGGAAGGGAUGUAUUUAUUAGAUUAAAAGCCAACGCCCCCUCACGGGGGCUCAGUGGUGAUUCAUGAUAACUGUUCGAAUCGCACGGCCCUGCGCCGGCGAUGGUUCAUUCAAAUAUCUUCCCUAUCAACUUUCGAUGUUUGGAUAGGGGCCAAACAUGGUGGCAACGGGUAACGGAGGGUUAGGGCUCGACCCCGGAGAAGGAGCCUGAGAGACGGCUACUACAUCCAAGGAAGGCAGCAGGCGCGCAAAUUACCCAAUCCCGACACGGGGAGGUAGUGACAAUAAAUACCGAUACAGGGCUCUUUUGGGUCUUGUAAUUGGAAUGAGUACAACUUAAAUCCCUUAACGAGGAACAAUUGGAGGGCAAGUCUGGUGCCAGCAGCCGCGGUAAUUCCAGCUCCAAUAGCGUAUAUUAAAGUUGUUGUGGUUAAAAAGCUCGUAGUUGAACCUUGGGCCUGGCUGGCCGGUCCGCCUCACCGCGUGUCACUGGUCCGGCCGGGCCUUUCCCUCUGUGGAACCCCAUGCACUUCACUGGGCGUGGCGGGGAAACAGGACGUUUACUUUGAAAAAAUUAGAGUGCUCCAGGCAGGCCUAUGCUCGGAUACAUUAGCAUGGAAUAAUGAAAUAGGACGCGCGGUUUUAUUUUGUUGGUUUCUAGGACCGCCGUAAUGAUUAAUAGGGACAGUCGGGGGCAUCAGUAUUCAGUUGUCAGAGGUGAAAUUCUUGGAUCUACUGAAGACUAACUACUGCGAAAGCAUUUGCCAAGGAUGUUUUCAUUAAUCAGGAACGAAAGUUAGGGGAUCGAAGACGAUCAGAUACCGUCGUAGUCUUAACCAUAAACUAUGCCGACUAGGGAUCGGACGAUGUUAUUCAUUGACUCGUUCGGCACCUUACGAGAAAUCAAAGUGCUUGGGCUCCAGGGGGAG